rnacentral:rRNA from 1 species
UACGUAGGCAGCGAGCGUUUGUUCGGAGUUACUGGGCGUAAAGGGUGUGUAGGCGGUCGUUUUAAGUUUGGUGUGAAAUCUCCCGGCUCAACCGGGAGGGUGCGCCGAAUACUGAAUGACUUGGAGUGCGGGAGAGGUGAGUGGAAUUCCUGGUGUAGCGGUGAAAUGCGUAGAUAUCAGGAGGAACACCGGUGGUGUAGACGGCUCACUGGACCGUAACUGACGCUGAGACACGAAAGCGUGGGUAGCAAACAGG